UUGAUCCUGGCUCAGGAUGAACGCUGGCGGCGUGCCUAAUACAUGCAAGUCGAGCGAACGGACGAGAAGCUUGCUUCUCUGAUGUUAGCGGCGGACGGGUGAGUAACACGUGGAUAACCUACCUAUAAGACUGGGAUAACUUCGGGAAACCGGAGCUAAUACCGGAUAAUAUUUUGAACCGCAUGGUUCAAAAGUGAAAGACGGUCUUGCUGUCACUUAUAGAUGGAUCCGCGCUGCAUUAGCUAGUUGGUAAGGUAACGGCUUACCAAGGCAACGAUGCAUAGCCGACCUGAGAGGGUGAUCGGCCACACUGGAACUGAGACACGGUCCAGACUCCUACGGGAGGCAGCAGUAGGGAAUCUUCCGCAAUGGGCGAAAGCCUGACGGAGCAACGCCGCGUGAGUGAUGAAGGUCUUCGGAUCGUAAAACUCUGUUAUUAGGGAAGAACAUAUGUGUAAGUAACUGUGCACAUCUUGACGGUACCUAAUCAGAAAGCCACGGCUAACUACGUGCCAGCAGCCGCGGUAAUACGUAGGUGGCAAGCGUUAUCCGGAAUUAUUGGGCGUAAAGCGCGCGUAGGCGGUUUUUUAAGUCUGAUGUGAAAGCCCACGGCUCAACCGUGGAGGGUCAUUGGAAACUGGAAAACUUGAGUGCAGAAGAGGAAAGUGGAAUUCCAUGUGUAGCGGUGAAAUGCGCAGAGAUAUGGAGGAACACCAGUGGCGAAGGCGACUUUCUGGUCUGUAACUGACGCUGAUGUGCGAAAGCGUGGGGAUCAAACAGGAUUAGAUACCCUGGUAGUCCACGCCGUAAACCGAUGAGUGCUAAGUGUUAGGGGGUUUCCGCCCCUUAGUGCUGCAGCUAACGCAUUAAGCACUCCGCCUGGGGAGUACGACCGCAAGGUUGAAACUCAAAGGAAUUGACGGGGACCCGCACAAGCGGUGGAGCAUGUGGUUUAAUUCGAAGCAACGCGAAGAACCUUACCAAAUCUUGACAUCCUUUGACAACUCUAGAGAUAGAGCUUUCCCCUUCGGGGGACAAAGUGACAGGUGGUGCAUGGUUGUCGUCAGCUCGUGUCGUGAGAUGUUGGGUUAAGUCCCGCAACGAGCGCAGCCCUUAAGCUUAGUUGCCAUCAUUAAGUUGGGCACUCUAAGUUGACUGCCGGUGACAAACCGGAGGAAGGUGGGGAUGACGUCAAAUCAUCAUGCCCCUUAUGAUUUGGGCUACACACGUGCUACAAUGGACAAUACAAAGGGCAGCGAAACCGCGAGGUCAAGCAAAUCCCAUAAAGUUGUUCUCAGUUCGGAUUGUAGUCUGCAACUCGACUACAUGAAGCUGGAAUCGCUAGUAAUCGUAGAUCAGCAUGCUACGGUGAAUACGUUCCCGGGUCUUGUACACACCGCCCGUCACACCACGAGAGUUUGUAACACCCGAAGCCGGUGGAGUAACCUUUUAGGAGCUAGCCGUCGAAGGUGGGACAAAUGAUUGGGGUGA
rnacentral:rRNA from 1 species